AAAGCGUGCGCAGGCGGUUUUGUAAGACUGUCGUGAAAUCCCCGGGCUCGACCUGGGAAUGGCGAUGGUGACUGCAAGGCUAGAGUUUGGCAGAGGGGGGUAGAAUUCCACGUGUAGCAGUGAAAUGCGUAGAUAUGUGGAGGAACACCGAUGGCGAAGGCAGCCCCCUGGGUCAAAACUGACGCUCAUGCACGAAAGCGUGGGGAGCAAACAGGAUUAGAUACCCCAGU
rnacentral:rRNA from 1 species